AUUACUAACCUGACUUCACUUACGCCAACAAACAAAAAAUAGCGAUAAGUGUAUAUAAAGAUUGACAGCUAACCGCGAUAACACUCUACAAAGUGACUUGACUCAAACUCUCCAAAAUAAAUAUAACGCGAAAAAGUGUAUAUACAUUCAUAGGUACAUACAUACUAUGUAUGUAUAUGAAAAGUACAUGUAAUUUCACUAUAAAGUGUAUGCGCGCAUGCAACGAGUGCUAUAUAAGAAUCAGUCAACGAGCGAUAAUGGUUCACAAAAUACACGAUCGCUGAAUAAACAGAUACACUUCGCUGAGUAUACGUCGUAUAGAACAGAAAAAGCGUCGAUUUGAAAAACAAUUUGCGCAUAUUUAAUAUACACCGCAAGCACUUUGCGGGGUAGUCGGUGUUAGUGUGGUGAAUAAGUGGUAAUGGCGCGCAAAAUACCACACAGUGCACACCCCCUUUUAACACAACAUUCACAGUUUCAAAAACAAUGUACACACAUAGAUACAGUUAAGUGUAUGUAAACCUGCAACGUGUGUAUAUAUGUACAUAUUUACAUGUGUUUGUCUAUACUUCAAUAUGGCGAACGUGAUCGCCGAGCAAUCGCUGCGAUAUUUGCGCAAACAAAAAGCAAACGCUGCGGAGGGAAAAGUGUUUAGCUUAAGGAAAAAAAUAUGCUUACGUUAUGAAAAGUGAGUGAGCGUUUAAGCGGCACAAAGUCUACUCCUGCUCAUAUAACGAAUUUUUUUAAGAGCGUAACUUUGUGUCAGCGCUUGUGUGGCACUUGUCAUUACACGCGGCUUUACUUUUAAACUAUUUUAUGUUUUUGAAUUCGAAUUGUGAAAUUUUAAGCAUUAUCGGCAGAUAUGUAUGUCGAAAGAGAUAACAAAUAGUUGUAAAAAUACAUAUGUAUAGCAGUAUGUAUGUAUAUCUUAUAUUAACAUGAGCGGUUUACGUGAAAGUCCAUUACUUGUGCUGUUAUCUUGUCAUUCACAUGUCAAACAGUCUGCUAAAUUAUGUCUACUGAAACUAUUUUCCAAAAAUUAUUUGGGCAAUGUUUUAUGCUGCUACCACAACAACAAAAUAACAACAAUAUUAGUUUCAUUACAAAAAUAAAUCGCUUAAACAUCACAGCACUCGCUAAGUGUUCCUACCAUAAUGCAGCAAAGCAGUUGUUUAUGCAGUUCUUAAUUAACAAAAGGCCUGUUAGGCAUAAUGCUAAAAAUAGUUAUUGCUAGAAAAACAUACGUAUGAUUUUACACGUGCGCAAAUUCAUUAAUUCAAAGCAUUUAUUAACUUAGGUUUUUGCUUGAAGAACGUUUGAAAAUAUGUACCUAUUUACGGUGUCAAUUAAGUGUAACGAUAAGGAACAAAUAAGACGGUAAUGCAAACAAUUUAAUGCUAAAACUCAUCAACCCUGAAUUGUUAGCCAUUUUUAUCAAAAAACUUGUUAUAUUUAGCUUUUAACUGAUGAAAUAUUUAACACUUCUAAAAUUAAAACUUUAAUGACGGUGACACGCAUUCUAAAGUGUAUCAAAACGUAUUUUAACCAUUAUGUUUUAUACAUACAUAAAAGCGCAAGAAGAAGCAAACACAUAUGGGUUGUAAAUAUACAGUAGGUAUUUGUCGGUACCAAUUGAGAUUGAGUCAUGGUAGUGGAAAAGGUAUGCGAGAUCUUCGUGUACACGAUUGUAUUCUAUACAGACGAAAUUUUCGGUACACACAUACAAUGGUAAACAAUUUUUGGCGCCAUUUCUACAAAUGUUGAAGAGUGCUUUGUGGUAGCACAUGUUGACGACUUCAUGAUAUAUUUAAGGAAUUGUGUUUUAUUUGCUGAUAGUGCAUCACUUUAUAAGCAUAUCUUAAUAAAUAUUUAUAAUUGGCGGUUUUUAGAUGGUGUUCAGCUGUUAAACAAUAUCUAAAUAUUUUUUAUGGAAUUUUGUUUGCGGUCAACAAGCUAAUCAGCAUUAGCUAUGCAAUUAAUUCGAAUUUAAAAUAGAAAUUAAUCCUUAUAUAUUAAAAUUAUAUUAUAUUUAUAUAUUAAAAUUACGUGUCGCGAUGGACUUCUAAACUAUUGAACCGAUUUUAGCAAAAUUUAGCACACUGUGUCCAGUUGGAGCCGACUUAGAAGAUAGGAUAGAUAUUUUCACUAUAUUGAAUAGCUUAUUAUAUGAAUAAUCGUAUAAAAUGUAUACCACAAGCAACGGGUGGCCGGAUCCACUAUUUUUUUUUUUAUAUAUUUAAUGCAAGCAAAUAAGGAAAAGUGCUGCGCAGUGUUGCAUUUAAUAAAAUUUAUGUUGAAAUUUUCAACUUUUUGUUUUUUUUUUGACCUUCAAUAUUCUUAAAUUUGUUUGUUUAGUUUAUUAUCUACAACAGUGAUUUAUUUGAUGAAAUCUUUUACGAUAAGAUUUUUGUUAGUAGAUAAAAAUAACUUUUUGUGUUUGCAUAUUGAUUGUUUGUGUAAUUUGUAAUCAAUAUUUAGUCAAUAAAAAUUUUGUGGUUAUAAAAUCAAUGUGGAUCGCUGCCAACGGUAGCUGUGGUCUUCAUAACAACCGCAAAUUGUGUGUACAAUAAUGUUAUAAAAAUCCGAAGAAUUUUAGUAUUUUGUGUGAAAUUGUUUUUUAAUUUAUUUGAAUUAAUUAUAUUGUAUAUAUGUUGAAAUAUUUUCUGUUAUUUAGACUAAAUAUUAUUUUGGGUAAAAAGGA